GGUUUGAUCCUGGCUCAGAACGAACGCUGGCGGCGUGCCUAACACAUGCAAGUCGAACGUGAUCCAGAGCUUGCUCUGGUGAAAGUGGCGCACGGGUGAGUAACGCGUGGAUAACCUACCCUGGUAUCCGGGAUAACAUUCCGAAAGGGGUGCUAAUACCGGAUAAGCCCACGGGCUCUUUGGAGCUUGCGGGAAAAGGUGGCCUCUAUUUAUAAGCUACUGUAUCAGGAUGGGUCCGCGUACCAUUAGCUAGUUGGCGGUGUAACGGACCACCAAGGCGACGAUGGUUAGYUGGUCUGAGAGGAUGAUCAGCCACACUGGAACUGAGACACGGUCCAGACUCCUWCGGGAGGCAGCAGUGGGGAAUUUUGCGCAAUGGGGGAAACCCUGASGCAGCAACGCCGCGUGAGUGAUGAAGGCCUUUGGGUCGUAAAGCUCUGUCAGAGGGGAAGAAAUGAUAUAGUGCUAAUACCACUUUAUCUUGACGGUACCCUCAAAGGAAGCACCGGCUAACUCCGUGCCAGCAGCCGCGGUAAUAC
rnacentral:rRNA from 1 species